GACGAACGCUGGCGGCGUGCUUAACACACGCAAGUCGAACGGUAAGGCCCUUCGGGGUACACGAGUGGCGAACGGGUGAGUAACACGUGGGUGAUCUGCCCUGCACUUCGGGAUAAGCCUGGGAAACUGGGUCUAAUACCGGGUAGGACCACUGCCUGCAUGGGUGGUGGGGGAAAGCUUUUGCGGUGUGGGAUGGGCCCGCGGCCUAUCAGCUUGUUGGUGGGGUGAUGGCCUACCAAGGCGACGACGGGUAGCCGGCCUGGGAGGGUGACCGGCCACACUGGGACUGAGAUACGGCCCAGACUCCUACGGGAGGCAGCAGUGGGGAAUAUUGCACAAUGGGCGCAAGCCUGAUGCAGCGACGCCGCGUGAGGGAUGACGGCCUUCGGGUUGUGAACCUCUUUCAGCACCGACGAAGCGCAAGUGACGGUAGGUGCAGAAGAAGGACCGGCCAACUACGUGCCAGCAGCCGCCGUAA
rnacentral:rRNA from 1 species